AGUUGGGCACUCUAAGGUGACUGCCGGUGACAAACCGGAGGAAGGUGGGGAUGACGUCAAAUCAUCAUGCCCCUUAUGACCUGGGCUACACACGUGCUACAAUGGACGGUACAAAGAGCUGCAAGACCGCGAGGUGGAGCUAAUCUCAUAAAACCGUUCUCAGUUCGGAUUGUAGGCUGCAACUCGCCUACAUGAAGCUGGAAUCGCUAGUAAUCGCGGAUCAGCAUGCCGCGGUGAAUACGUUCCCGGGCCUUGUACACACCGCCCGUCACACCACGAGAGUUUGUAACACCCGAAGUCGGUGGGGUAACCUUUUUGGAGCCAGCCGCCUAAGGUGGGACAGAUGAUUGGGGUGAAGUCGUAACAAGGUAGCCGUAUCGGAAGGUGCGGCUGGAUCACCUCCUUUCUAUGGA
rnacentral:rRNA from 1 species